rnacentral:rRNA from 1 species
AUGAACGCUAGCGGCAGGCUUAACACAUGCAAGUCGAGGGCAGCGUGGAGCAGCAAUGCUCUGACGGCGACCGGCGGAAGGGUGCGUAACACGUGAGCGACUUGCCCGUCACAGGGGGAUAACCGGCGGAAACGGCGACUAAUACCCCAUAUGAUGCGAUGCUGCAUGGCAUUGCAUUGAAAGAUUCAUCGGUGGCGGAUAGGCUCGCGGGACAUUAGCUAGACGGCGGGGCAACGGCCCACCGUGGCGACGAUGUCUAGGGGUUCUGAGAGGAAGGCCCCCCACACUGGGACUGAGACACGGCCCAGACUCCUACGGGAGGCAGCAGUGAGGAAUAUUGGUCAAUGGGCGAGAGCCUGAACCAGCCAAGUCGCGUGGAGGAAGACUGCCCUACGGGUUGUAAACUCCUUUUACCUGGGAAUAACGGGCGCUACGCGUAGCGCUGUGCAUGUACCGGGAGAAUAAGCAUCGGCUAAUUCCGUG